rnacentral:lncRNA from 1 species
AUUGUUCGGAUUUCUCUUACCUUUUCUUUCACAUUGCAUGGUAAUAAACACUAAAAAACAGAUCAACUAAUAUUGUUCUUUAUGUUUAUAGGACUGUACUUAGUUUACAUUCGGAUGUUGACACAUGAAGAAAAUGGAUUUUCGUCAAGGGCUCCUAAAGCUGUUAAAACUUACAGACCAAUUGAAAGAAAAGAAGAGAACAAACAACACAAUUAAAAGAAGCUGCCAAAAACUGUAGAAGUGUCAGCUGGCAAGAAAGAACCUCUGCGGAAAUUUAUUGGUGAGCAGGUAAACAUCUCACUGUCCCUGAGCCAACAAAAAAUGCCUCUCUAGGAGUUAGAUUAGCUUUACACAGCUGAUUCAA